rnacentral:rRNA from 1 species
UACGUAGGGGGCGAGCGUUGUUCGGAUUCACUGGGCGUAAAGGGUGCGUAGGCGGUCGGGUAAGUCUGAUGUGAAAUCUCACAGCUUAACUGUGAAACUGCAUUGGAUACUAUCCGGCUCGAGGAAUGGAGGGGAGACUGGAAUACUUGGUGUAGCAGUGAAAUGCGUAGAUAUCAAGUGGAACACCAGUGGCGAAGGCGAGUCUCUGGACAUUUCCUGACGCUGAGGCACGAAAGCCAGGGAGCAAACGGG